AGAUUUAGUAUAUUAUUUAGUAUUGUUUAUUGUCUAUAAAUAGGUUUUUUGUCUUU
rnacentral:tRNA from 1 species